UGGGGAAUAUUGGACAAUGGGCGCAAGCCUGAUCCAGCCAUGCCGCGUGAGUGAUGAAGGCCCUAGGGUUGUAAAGCUCUUUCACCGGUGAAGAUAAUGACGGUAACCGGAGAAGAAGCCCCGGCUAACUUCGUGCCAGCAGCCGCGGUAAUACGAAGGGGGCUAGCGUUGUUCGGAAUUACUGGGCGUAAAGCGCACGUAGGCGGACAUUUAAGUCAGGGGUGAAAUCCCGGGGCUCAACCCCGGAACUGCCUUUGAUACUGGGUGUCUAGAGUUCGAGAGAGGUGAGUGGAAUUCCGAGUGUAGAGGUGAAAUUCGUAGAUAUUCGGAGGAACACCAGUGGCGAAGGCGGCUCACUGGCUCGAUACUGACGCUGAGGUGCGAAAGCGUGGGGAGCAAAACAGGAUUAGAUACCCUGGUAGUCCACGCCGUAAACGAUGGAAGCCAGCUGUCGGCAAGUUUACUUGUCGGUGGCGCAGCUAACGCAUUAAGCUUCCCGCCUGGGGAGUACGGUCGCAAGAUUAAAACUUAAAGGGAAUUGACGGGGUCAUAGCUGUUUCCU
rnacentral:rRNA from 1 species